rnacentral:rRNA from 1 species
UCCGUAGGCGGGCGACUAAGUCAGAGGUGAAAUCCACAGCUUAACUGUGGAACUGCCUUUGAUACUGGUUGUCUUGAGUUAUAGUGAAGUAGAUAGAAUAUGUAGUGUAGCGGUGAAAUGCUUAGAUAUUACAUAGAAUACCGAUUGCGAAGGCAGUCUACUAACUAUAUACUGACGCUAAUGGACGAAAGCGUGGGGAGCGAACAGGAUUAGAUACCCUGGUAGUCC